rnacentral:rRNA from 1 species
AUUGAACGCUGGCGGCAUGCUUUACACAUGCAAGUCGAACGGUAACAGGCCGCAAGGUGCUGACGAGUGGCGAACGGGUGAGUAAUGUAUCGGAACGUGCCCAGUCGUGGGGGAUAACGCAGCGAAAGCUGUGAUAAUACCGCAUACGAUCUAUGGAUGAAAGCGGGGGACCGUAAGGCCGCGAGCGAUUGGAGCGGCCGAUAUCAGAUUGGGUAGUUGGUGGGGUAAAGGCUCACCAAGCCGACGAUCUGUAGCUGGUCUGAGAGGACGACCAGCCACACUGGGACUGAGACACGGCCCAGACUCCUACGGGAGGCAGCAGUGGGGAAUUUUGGACAAUGGGCGCAAGCCUGAUCCAGCAAUGCCGCGUGCAGGACGAAGGCCUUCGGGUUGUAAACUGCUUUUGUACGGAGCGAAACGGCUCUCUCUAAUAAAGGGAGCUAAUGACGGUACCGUAAGAAUAAGCACCGGCUAACUACGUGCCAGCCGCCGCCGUAACAC